UACAGAGAUCAGGAGAGGUUCUAAUUACAUCAAAUAUGAGGGGCUCAGGCAGCUGGGGUGGAGAAGAUACACAGACAUGGGACAACAGAGGCAACCAAGCCACCUCACAGCCCUGCCUGCCUCUGAGGCUGUCAUCAUCUCCGGUUAAUGAAUAAAGAGAUAGAGGAAGACACUGGAGUCUCUGAGGGACAGUAGCUAGAUAACAAAUGAAGAAAGGAAGGACAAAUCAUACCAAAUACUUUUUCUUUGCACUAUAUUAAAUAUGUCAGGUUUAUUUCCCCUGAAACCGUUUAUGAGGGGGAAUUCCCAUUAAUGCAAUUAUGUGUGAAAGAAUGUCGUUCGUGUGUAAAUGAAUGGCUUACUGGUUCACAGAUUGCCCAGUAAUUAAGGGAACCAGCAGGCUUAUUUGUUAUGAGAUCUAAUUAACUUUAAUAAAUUAUAAAUGUAAUCACCAUGCAGGGGAGAGGAAUUCAAUGCCGUACAUAGCAUUCUGUAUAGCCUCUUUCUGGAUGUUCAACAUGGUGAUCAUAAUAAUAGGACCCUGUGCUCCUAGGAAUCUGCUCUUUUGUUACAGCCUUGGCCAGUAUCUACCAUAGCUAUACAAUCAUAGUUGUUUUACUAACAGAAGAUAACUCCAUAAUUGACUUUACUUUGCCUUCCUAGAAGUUACCUCAGCUUCUAAAUUAGCGGGGGAUAACCAGACACAAAUAAAGAUGUGAACUUUUGUUCACAUGACUUUUUUGCCACAAAUUAUAUUUCUCCAGUCACUUUUGGGGAUAGAAAGAGAUUAAUAGACGGAAUAAUUAAAAAUUUUUAAUAACUCAAAAUAUUUUAACAGAUCAUAAGUAUAUGCUGUUAAACCGGGAUCUUGUAAUUGCUUUCAUAUGACUUUUUCCAGGCUUAUUUUAUUGUUUUAAUCAUGAAUGCAUGCUGUGCCUGUGUGUAGUAUGUGCUCAUGAGUGCAUGUGUCUGUAGAGCUGAGUCACAGGCAGGUAGGAGUCACCUGAUGUGUAUGCUGAGAACUAAACCUGAGCCAAUCCCUCCAGCCUUUGUUGAAAUGGCCUUGAAGUUUAACAUCUUAAUGUUUUAAUUUUUUUUUCUUUGAUUAUGAAGCUAAACAUUUUAUUAUUGUUAACCAAGUUUUUUUUUGUUUUAUGUGGGUUUGUUUUGUUUUGUUUUGAGACUAGGUCUGUAUUUCUGGCGUGUCUGGGACUUACUAUGUAGACAAGGCUGGUCUUGAACUCACAGAGAUCUUUCUGUCUCUGCCUCCUAAGUGCUGACAUAUACACAAUAUCUAGCCUUAGGUAUACCAAGUUAAUUUCACUUUUUAAAUAUACCUUUACAUAUUUAAAUUAACAAAUUAACAUUAGGCAUCUAACGUGUUAGAUAUAUUGAAUUUCUGACGUUGUUAGGAGCCGUUGCCUAGAACCAGAGUGGUUUUAGAUUAAGUAGACCCCCAUAGACCUUAGAGGAGAGAAAUAUUCCAUCUCUGUGUUCCAUUGACCUGACCUCCUGGCUGAACAUUCACACAAAAGCCAAGGAAAGCUUUGACAUUCCAGACUCUGUCUUUUCUUAAAGGUGGGAAAGUUGGAAGCGGGAGCCAUUGAUUCGGUCUGUUACUGAAUGUACACUAGGCCCUGUCAAGUUUCAAGCUACCAUUUCUUAGUUCCAUAUAUUCAUAAAUCUAUUCAUACUUUAAAACAUUUAAAUGAAUAUUCUAGAUGUUGUUAUUUAGCACAGUGUUUUUGUGCCCGUAAUUACAGGGCCUUACCCAUGGUCUGGUGUACCUCACUUAGUUUUAAUGCUCUCCCUAUCCUGACUUUGGUAAGAGAUCAGCCACAAAUACAAGCCUGCUUGAGGUUUCCUGGAUGAUUCCAGGCCAAGGUGGUUGCCUAGGAAACCCUGACGCUGCUUCCCAUUACUGUAUUAUUCUCCUUCUCUUAUUGGGUUUUUGAGGGGCAAAGGGAUUGGAAACGGUUUAACUCUGUAGCAUAUGUUGAUCCAGAAGUUACUGUGUAUCCCAGGCUGGCCUCAAACUCAUCAAGAUCCUUCUGAACUCUUUUCACUCAAUGAUCCAAUGCCCCCAGGCUGCCUCUGGUUGUCUGACAUCCCUCAUGUAACUCUACCGAAGCCUGUUCAUGUCCAGAAUAACCUAUGUCCACCUCCUUGGGCUGACAGGAGCUCUAUAUCUGUUCUCUCAGAGCAAAGCAAUCUGAUCUUAGAUAGUCUCCCAGGGAGAAGGGUUGCUACUUGAGAUGUCAGUCAUCCUGCUACCCUGGAUGAGUGCACAACUGAAGUUGACUUCGUAAGAGUCAACUCAUAAUGAAACAAUGCAGAUUUCACAAUCCACAACUGGUAUCAU
rnacentral:lncRNA from 1 species